UCAGUGUAGGCUUUUCUUGUGUGCAUGGUUUAGCAGCCGAUCUAACCUCAGUUCAUAGACCCGCCCCAUUCAGUAAAAAGACCCUCUCACGGAUUCUCUGCAGUGCAAACGAGUCCUCUAAAUCCAACGGAGCAAGUUCUGAAGUCACGGGAGGGGAUAUUUCAGUUUAGACGUUUAAUGAAAGGGCGUAUGGUUACUAAACUUCCGCUCGUGUUGUUUUGAGUAAAAUGAUUUGUUCUUAACGUUUAUUCAGAUGAAUCGCUAUUCAUGCUUGGUUUAAAUCCAGCGGUGAAUAAAGAAAAUUGAACACCCGCGCUUACAGUAACCUUCAGACACACAUAUACCCAUUGUUUGGAGCAGAAGUAUUCGGGGUGGAACACAGCAGUUACGGUACUUCCUGAGACUGAGUUGACUUACUAGCCAAAGCACCAUCAGAAAGCUGAUAAAAGAAUGGGCUAAAAAAAAGAAAGGAUGGAAAGCCAUACACCGUACUCGAUGUGUAUACCAUGUCUCGAGGCGGGUCAUUCCAGCUCAUGCAGACUUUAAGGAAAUCUCCAGCUGUUUUCUGCCGCCGUUUCCGCCAGGACCGUGCUCAGACCCUCUCACAUGGUGAUCCACUUUUCAAGGUGCACUACCUUGGUACGGAAAAGAUAUAUUCCCUGGAUGUAGAGCAGGCUGAGGAGGCCAUAUGCCGCUUACUGGAGAAAUCACCAGACAUGGCUACCCUAGGCAAGCUUGGCAAGGAGCAUGCUCUUGUUGUCCGACCUCGCUACAUAGAGCGAGGCCAGCAGCUACAGUGUAGAGUGUUCUGGUGUAGCAGACCUGACCGAGCAAAAGAUAUGACUGCCUGCUUAGCCACAUCUUUCCAGAAUGCUCUGAACGACUUGCAAAAGGAGGAGACCAGUCAUGUUACAGGAGAAAAAAGUGAAAAGGAGGGAAAGCCAAUUGCAGUGAUGGGGAAAUAGCAAAAGCUCCGCAUUACCAGCAGACUUGAGAAAAAGUCGGUGACAGAGCCCUUUGAGAGUGCUGAUGAGGAGAACCAGUAUCA
ensembl:lncRNA